CAAGUCCCUGCGUUUACGAACAAGUCAUUACCAACACCAAUAACUGCAACACAGCACUGAGACAUCCAACAUGUCAGAGAAGAAACAGACCGUGGAUUUGGGCUUACUGGAGGAGGAUGACGAGUUUGAAGAAUUCCCAGCCGAGGACUGGACAGGGCUUGAUGAAGAUGAAGAUGCUCAUGUUUGGGAAGACAACUGGGAUGAUGACAACGUAGAAGAUGAUUUCUCAAAUCAACUGAGAGCAGAGCUUGAAAAACAUGGUUACAAGAUGGAGACGUCAUAGCAGCUGACAAGACCUUUCAGUAUGCGGUGACAUUGGACAUAUGGACACUUCUAUCUGAAUAUUACUGGUUUGACCAGACACACCAUCAGAAUAGAUUUUUUGGGGGGGGGGAGUAAGGACAAUAGAUGUUUGGAGAAAGUUAUGUUAAGUGUUUUUACUGACCAACAGUAGUGCAGAUGUUAAGGUGAUGGCAUUUAUAAUAAAUUGGCUGUUUACACACUA